CUUGGGUCGGGUACUAGAGUAUUGACCAAGACAAAGAGUAAAUGCAAAAUUUAAAGAUGAAAAUCGAAUCAAGAUUGAGAAAGGAAAGUGGGAAUAUUUUUUUGAUUUUCGAAAACUUGGAAAGAAAGCGAAACUUUUUUUUUUAAAUGCAAAAAUCGAAAACUUGGAGAACAAUCCAAAAAUUUCAAAAUAAGGAAAGUAAAUAUUUUUUUUUUUGAAGUGCGACGGCUAGGGUUCAGAAAGAACUGAGUUUCACAGGAAACUUCGGCUCUGAUACCAAAAUUUUGUAGGCACGGGACGGAUGGUCGGAUGGACGGAAGGACAGACGGUCAGAUGGACGUUCCGCGGUUCAGCCUUCGCUCAGAUGGACGGUACUGGCCAGGUCGUCUCUUGUUU
rnacentral:lncRNA from 1 species